GACGAACGCUGGCGGCGUGCUUAACACAUGCAAGUCGAACGGAAAGGCCCUGCUUUUGUGGGGUGCCCGAGUGGCGAACGGGUGAGUAACACGUGAGUAACCUGCCCUUGACGUUGGGAUAACUUCAGGAAACUGGGGCUAAUACCGGCUAGGAGCUCCUGCUGCAUGGUGGGGGUUGGACAGUUUCGGCGGUUGGGGAUCGACUCGCGGCUUAUCAGCUUGUUGGUGGGGUAGUGGCUUACCAAGGCUUUGGCGGGUAGCCGGCCUGAGAGGGUGACCGGCGACAUUGGGACUAAGAGACGGACCAGACUGCUACAGGAGGCAGUGGUGGGGAGUAUUGCACAAUGGGCGGGAGCGUGAUGAAGAGGCGCCCCGAGCGGGAUGCAGGUUUUCGGGUUGUAAACCGCUGUAGGUUGUGACGAAGCGGGAGUGACGGUACUGGGUAAAGAAGCACCGGCUAACUACGUG
rnacentral:rRNA from 1 species